GUCUUUUUGUUUAUAAUUUAAAGUCUAAUCUGCCCACUGAUAAAUAUAUUGAAGGGCUGCAGUAUUUUGACUGUACAAAGGUAGCAUAAUCAUUAGUCUCUUAAUUGGUGACUUGUAUGAAGGAUUUAAUGAAAUAUAAACUGUCUCUUUUAAAUUUAUAGAAUUUAAUUUUUUAGUCAAAAAGCUAAAAUUUAUUUAAAAGACGAGAAGACCCUAUAGAGUUUUAUAUUUAUAUUAAUUUUAAUUUUAUAUAAAAAUUUACUGUAUAUUAAAAUUAAUUAAAAUAUUUUAUUGGGGUGAUAGAAAAAUUAAAUAAACUUUUUUUUAAAAAAAAUUAACAUUGAUUUAUGAUUAAAUGAUCCGUAAAUUACGAUUAUAAGAAAAAAUUACCUUAGGGAUAACAGCGUAAUUUUUUUUUUUAGUUCAUAUAAAAAAAAAAGUUUGCGACCUCGAUGUUGGAUUAAGAUAAAAUUUAAAUGCAAAAGUUUAAAAUUUUGAUCUGUUCGAUCAUUAAAAUCUUACA
rnacentral:rRNA from 1 species